rnacentral:rRNA from 1 species
GACGAACGCUGGCGGCGUGCUUAACACAUGCAAGUCGAACGGAAAGGCCCUGCUUUUUUGGGGUUCUCGAGGGGCGAACGGGUGAGUAACACGUGAGUAACCUGCUCUUGACUUUGGGAUAACUUCAGGAAACUGGGGCUAAGACCGGAUAGGAGCCCCUGUUGGAUGGUGGGCGGUGGAAAGUUUCGGCGGUUGGGGAUGGACUGGCGGCUUAUCAGCUUGUUGGUGGGGUAGUGGCUUACCAAGGCUUUGACGGGUAGCCGGCCGGAGAGGGUGACCGGCCACAUUGGGACUGAGAUACGGCGCAGAGUGCUACGGGAGGCAGCAGUGGGGAAUAUUGCACAAUGGGCGGAAGCCUGAUGCAGCAACGCCGCGUGCGGGAUGACGGCCUUCGGGUUGUAAACCGCUUUAGCCUGUGACGCAGCGUGAGUGACGGUAAUGGGUAAAGAAGCACCGGCUAACUACGUG